GAUGAACGCUGGCGGCGUGCCUAAUACAUGCAAGUCGAGCGAAUGGAUUAAGAGCUUGCUCUUAUGAAGUUAGCGGCGGACGGGUGAGUAACACGUGGGUAACCUGCCCAUAAGACUGGGAUAACUCCGGGAAACCGGGGCUAAUACCGGAUAACAUUUUGAACCGCAUGGUUCGAAAUUGAAAGGCGGCUUCGGCUGUCACUUAUGGAUGGACCCGCGUCGCAUUAGCUAGUUGGUGAGGUAACGGCUCACCAAGGCAACGAUGCGUAGCCGACCUGAGAGGGUGAUCGGCCACACUGGGACUGAGACACGGCCCAGACUCCUACGGGAGGCAGCAGUAGGGAAUCUUCCGCAAUGGACGAAAGUCUGACGAAGCAACGCCGCGUGAGUGAUGAAGGCUUUCGGGUCGUAAAACUCUGUUGUUAGGGAAGAACAAGUGCUAGUUGAAUAAGCUGGCACCUUGACGGUACCUAACCAGAAAGCCACGGCUAACUACGUGCCAGCAGCCGCGGUAA
rnacentral:rRNA from 1 species